AUCUCAGAACUCACUUAGGGUGCAAUUGAAUCCCCUCAUCCAGAUUAUCAAUAAAGAUAUUGAACAGGACUGGGUCCAACACAGAUCCUUGGGGGACACCACUAGU